rnacentral:sRNA from 1 species
UUGGCCUUGGCUAAUAGGUUUACUUCCUUGGCUCACUGCUUUAAAAUCUUCUUAGGUUAGGCAUGCCUGUUUAUUUGUUCAGUGUGUGAACUUUGGAUCUUUUUGUUCAGGAUCAGCUAUUUCACACAUUGAGUACUACAAAGCAGAGAUUACAUAAAUAACGUAUAUAAAUUGUUCUCUAUGACAACCCCCAAGUAGGUGCUAACAUGAUUAUUAUAAUGCAUUUGUUAUCCUUUUCUAUUUGCUCCUAGGUUUUUAGAACUUCAGCCAUAAAAAUGGGCAGAAUUUUCCUUGAUCAUAUCGGUGGUACCCGUCUGUUUUCUUGUGCAAACUGUGAUACGAUCCUGACCAACCGCUCAGAACUCAUCUCCACUCGUUUCACAGGCGCCACUGGCAGAGCAUUUCUUUUUAACAAGGUAGUUAACCUGCAGUACAGUGAAGUUCAAGAUCGGGUCAUGCUCACUGGCCGCCACAUGGUUCGAGAUGUGAGCUGCAAAAACUGCAAUAGCAAACUGGGAUGGAUCUAUGAGUUUGCCACUGAAGACAGCCAGCGAUAUAAGGAAGGCCGCGUGAUCCUGGAACGUGCUCUAGUUCGAGAGAGUGAGGGCUUUGAGGAGCAUGUACCAUCUGAUAACUCUUGAAGAUACAGAGAGAAAUCCAUCUUUUCCCAGGUCUCCUUCACUGAAAACAAAAAUCUACUUACAUACACUGUCACCUUAGCAUCAGAGUCGGAUUAAUGAACUGCGGAACAAGAGGUUGUGAGAAUCUAAGAUGGAACCUUUCUUUUUUUUUUUUUUUUAAUUUUGUAUUUUCCAUCCAACAGCAGUGUGUAGAGAGAAUAUUAUGCAGAUGCCGUUAAUUUUUUACCCUAUGUUUACAUCUUGAGGCAGAAGAGUCUGUCUGCAGCUAUGUGGUGAGCUAUGUAAGGAA